CUUUCUCUUCAGUGACAAACACAGACAUAGAACAUUCACCAUGUACUUGAGACUGAACUGUGUAUUCAUAGUUUUUCUCUUAAAGGGUGUCCAGAGUGAAGUGAAACUUGAGGAGUCUGGAGGAGGCUUGGCGCAACCUGGAGGAUCCAUGAAACUCUCUUGUGCUGCCUCUGGAUUCACUUUUAGUGCCUACUGGAUGGAAUGGGUUCGCCAGUCUCCAGAGAAGGGGCUUGAGUGGGUUGCUGAAAUUAGAAACAAAGCUAAUAAUUAUGCAACAUAUUAUGAGGAGUCUGUGAAAGGGAGGUUCACCGUCUCAAGAGAUGAUUCCAAAAGUAGUGUCUACCUGCAAAUGAACAACUUAAGAGCUGAAGACACUGGCACUUAUUACUGUACAAGGCACAGUGAGAAGCCUUUAUUAUGA